rnacentral:lncRNA from 10 species
CAUAUUAUUGGAAGUCCUGGCCAGAACGGUCAGGCAAGAGAAAAAAAUAAAGGCAUCCAAAUAGAAAGAGAGGAAGUCAAACUAUACCUAUUUGCAGAUGGCAUGACCUGUAUCUAGAAAAUCCCAUAGUCUCAGCUCAAAAGCUCUUUAAGCUGAUAAACAACUUCAGCAAAGUCUCAGGAUACAAAAUCAAUUUACAAAAAUCACUAGCAUUCCUAUACACCAACAGCAGUGAAGCCAAGAGCCAAAUCAGGAACACAGUCACAUUCAUAAUUGCCACAAAACGAAUAAAAUACAGCCAAGACGGCCAAAUAGAAACAGCUCAGGUCUGCAGCUCCCAGAAAGAUGAAUGCAAAAGGCAAGUGAAUUCUGCAUUUCCAAUUGAGGUACCAAGUUCAUCUCAUUUGGACUGACUAGGUGAUUGGCACAACCCACAGAGAGCAAGGAAAAGCAGGAUGAGGCGUUGCAUCACCCAGGAGCUGUGCAGGGCAAAGGGAUUUCCUUCCCACAGCCAAGAGAACUGCUGAGGGGUUGUGCUACCCACCAGGAGUACCAAGCUUUUCCUACAGAUUUUUGCAAUCCAUGGAUCCGGGGAUUCCUUCAUGAGCCUGCAACAUCAGGGCCUUAGGUCUCAAACACAAAACUAGACAGACAAAUGACAGCUGCUCCCGUCAGUGGCUGUUCAGGCAGGCACUGAGCUGCAGGAAUUUUUUACAUACUUCAGUGGUGCCUGGAACUCCAAUGAAGCUGGAGAACUGUCCAUCCUAUGGAAAGGGAGCUGAAGACAAGGAGCCAAAUGGUCUUGCUCAUUGGGUCCCACUCCUACAGAACCCCACAAGCGAAGACCCACUGGCUUGAAAUCCCCACUGCCAGCACAGCCAUCUGGAGUCUGCCUACGACAACCAAGUUCCUGGGGGGAGGAGUGACGACCAUUAUUUUGGCUCUAGUUGGCGGUUUUCCCCUCCCAGUGUUAAGGAUACUGGGAGGUUUGAACUGAGCAGUAUUCCCCACAGUGCAGCAAAGCAGCUGUGGCAGAUCGUGGCCAGAUUGCUUCCUUAGGUGGGAGCCGGAUCC